UACGGAGGGGGCGAGCGUUAUUCGGAAUUAUUGGGCGUAAAGGGCGCGUAGGCGGCUUGACAAGUCAAAGGUGAAAUCCCUCGGCUCAACUGAGGAACUGCCUUUGAAACUGUCUGGCUUGAGGCCGGGAGGGGGUAGCGGAAUUCCCAGUGUAGCGGUGAAAUGCGUAGAUAUUGGGAGGAACGCCAGUGGCGAAGGCGGCUACCUGGACCGGUUCUGACGCUGAUGCGCGAAAGCGUGGGUAGCAAACAGG
rnacentral:rRNA from 1 species